rnacentral:rRNA from 1 species
AUUGAACGCUGGCGGCAUGCCUUACACAUGCAAGUCGAACGGCAGCGGGGGAGAAGCUUGCUUUUCCUGCCGGCGAGUGGCGAACGGGUGAGUAAUACAUCGGAACGUGCCCUGUAGUGGGGGAUAACUAGUCGAAAGAUUAGCUAAUACCGCAUACGACCUGCGGGUGAAAGCGGGGGAUCGCAAGACCUCGCGCGAUUAGAGCGGCAGAUGCCUGAUUAGCUAGUUGGUGGGGUAAAAGCCCACCACGGCGACGAUCAGUAGCUGGUCUGAGAGGACGAUCAGCCACACUGGGACUGAGACACGGCCCAGACUCCUACGGGAGGCAGCAGUGGGGAAUUUUGGACAAUGGGGGCAACCCUGAUCCAGCAAUGCCGCGUGAGUGAAGAAGGCCUUCGGGUUGUAAAGCUCUUUUGUCAGGGAAGAAACACCGGCUCUAACACAGUCCGGGAAUGACGGUACCUGAAGAAUAAGCACCGGCUAACUACGUGCCAGCCGCCGCGGUAA